GCAAAGAAAUCGCCAGAGGAGAAGACAUAAAAGAAGAAGACGUAAAAGACGAAGAGGUGACUGAUGCCGAGUUACACUCUUAUGUUACUGCUUGUUUGAAUUCUGUGAGGAGAGGAUUGCAAGUUGGUGAGCUCCCACCAGAUAUUGCCUCUAAAAUCAAAAGUGGGCAGAAUCUUUCUCACACCUUCUUAAGAUGUUUGUAUGUGCAUUUGUUUCGAUUUUU
rnacentral:ribozyme from 1 species